CACCUCAUGAUCUAAGCACGUUGACACCAAAAAUUUGGCACAAUAUUUCCUAAGCACCUACUAGAAGACAGGCACCGGGCUGAGUACAAGAGACAAGAAGACAGAGGAGCUUCUCUGUACACUGUGAGUACACGGAACCCUGUCAUGUUGCAGCACAGCAGUGUGAAGUUGGACCAGGAGUUAAUG